rfam:Trichobilharzia regenti genome assembly, scaffold: TRE_scaffold0021115
AUCCAGCUGACGAGUCCCGAAUGAGACGAAGUGCGCAUCCUGGAU